GUAUAGCUGAGAUUUGGCAUUCUAGUUUCACCGACUCUCCCUCAAAAACUUUUUUGCUCUGUGGCUUGAAGAUAAACAUUGGCGCUCUUUUAUGUUCUUUUGCUACAAAUUAAAAGAAAUUCAAAACAACGCGCUCAGGGUGGCUGUGGUAAGGAUCCCUCAGACUUUGGAGGCUUACCAAGGACGUCGAGCUGCACAGUAAAGGUGGCUUCUCCUGCUCUGUUCUUGGCAACACACACAUACGCCCCUGCGUCUGAAGCUCUGACGACCUCAAAGAUGAG